GGGUUGUGAGGUUAAGCGACUAAGCGUACACGGUGGAUGCCCUGGCAGUCAGAGGCGAUGAAGGACGUGCUAAUCUGCGAUAAGCGUCGGUAAGGUGAUAUGAACCGUUAUAACCGGCGAUUUCCGAAUGGGGAAACCCAGUGUGAUUCGUCACACUAUCAUUAACUGAAUCCAUAGGUUAAUGAGGCGAACCGGGGGAACUGAAACAUCUAAGUACCCCGAGGAAAAGAAAUCAACCGAGAUUCCCCCAGUAGCGGCGAGCGAACGGGGAGCAGCCCAGAGCCUGAAUCAGUGUGUGUGUUAGUGGAAGCGUCUGGAAAGGCGUGCGAUACAGGGUGACAGCCCCGUACACAAAAAUGCACAUACUGUGAGCUCGAUGAGUAGGGCGGGACACGUGGUAUCCUGUCUGAAUAUGGGGGGACCAUCCUCCAAGGCUAAAUACUCCUGACUGACCGAUAGUGAACCAGUACCGUGAGGGAAAGGCGAAAAGAACCCCGGCGAGGGGAGUGAAAAAGAACCUGAAACCGUGUACGUACAAGCAGUGGGAGCACGCUUAGGCGUGUGACUGCGUACCUUUUGUAUAAUGGGUCAGCGACUUAUAUUCUGUAGCAAGGUUAACCGAAUAGGGGAGCCGAAGGGAAACCGAGUCUUAACUGGGCGUUAAGUUGCAGGGUAUAGACCCGAAACCCGGUGAUCUAGCCAUGGGCAGGUUGAAGGUUGGGUAACACUAACUGGAGGACCGAACCGACUAAUGUUGAAAAAUUAGCGGAUGACUUGUGGCUGGGGGUGAAAGGCCAAUCAAACCGGGAGAUAGCUGGUUCUCCCCGAAAGCUAUUUAGGUAGCGCCUCGUGAAUUCAUCUCCGGGGGUAGAGCACUGUUUCGGCAAGGGGGUCAUCCCGACUUACCAACCCGAUGCAAACUGCGAAUACCGGAGAAUGUUAUUACGGGAGACACACGGCGGGUGCUAACGUCCGUCGUGAAGAGGGAAACAACCCAGACCGCCAGCUAAGGUCCCAAAGUCAUGGUUAAGUGGGAAACGAUGUGGGAAGGCCCAGACAGCCAGGAUGUUGGCUUAGAAGCAGCCAUCAUUUAAAGAAAGCGUAAUAGCUCACUGGUCGAGUCGGCCUGCGCGGAAGAUGUAACGGGGCUAAACCAUGCACCGAAGCUGCGGCAGCGACGCUUAUGCGUUGUUGGGUAGGGGAGCGUUCUGUAAGCCUGUGAAGGUGUGCUGUGAGGUAUGCUGGAGGUAUCAGAAGUGCGAAUGCUGACAUAAGUAACGAUAAAGCGGGUGAAAAGCCCGCUCGCCGGAAGACCAAGGGUUCCUGUCCAACGUUAAUCGGGGCAGGGUGAGUCGACCCCUAAGGCGAGGCCGAAAGGCGUAGUCGAUGGGAAACAGGUUAAUAUUCCUGUACUUGGUGUUACUGCGAAGGGGGGACGGAGAAGGCUAUGUUGGCCGGGCGACGGUUGUCCCGGUUUAAGCGUGUAGGCUGGUUUUCCAGGCAAAUCCGGAAAAUCAAGGCCGAGGCGUGAUGACGAGGCACUACGGUGCUGAAGCAACAAAUGCCCUGCUUCCAGGAAAAGCCUCUAAGCAUCAGGUAACAUCAAAUCGUACCCCAAACCGACACAGGUGGUCAGGUAGAGAAUACCAAGGCGCUUGAGAGAACUCGGGUGAAGGAACUAGGCAAAAUGGUGCCGUAACUUCGGGAGAAGGCACGCUGAUACGUAGGUGAAGCGACUUGCUCGUGGAGCUGAAAUCAGUCGAAGAUACCAGCUGGCUGCAACUGUUUAUUAAAAACACAGCACUGUGCAAACACGAAAGUGGACGUAUACGGUGUGACGCCUGCCCGGUGCCGGAAGGUUAAUUGAUGGGGUUAGCGCAAGCGAAGCUCUUGAUCGAAGCCCCGGUAAACGGCGGCCGUAACUAUAACGGUCCUAAGGUAGCGAAAUUCCUUGUCGGGUAAGUUCCGACCUGCACGAAUGGCGUA
rnacentral:rRNA from 1 species